AUGUCUGCUGCCGCUGACACAGCUGCGGCCGCGGCCGUCGCCGCCGUCGCCGGCUCGUCGGGUCCCGCGGCGUUGCCGCUCGGCGGGCGCGUGGCCAUCGUGACCGGCGCGUCGCGCGGCAUCGGACGGGCCAUCGCGGCCCACCUCUCGUCCCUCGGCGCGAGCGUCGUCCUGGGCUACGCGGCCAGCGCAGCCGAGGCCGACGCGCUCGCCGCGGAGCUCCCGCGCGCCGUGGCCGUGAGGGCCGACGUGUCCGAGGAGGCCGGCGCGCGCUCCCUCUUCGACGCCGCCGAGUCGGCCUUCGGCUGCGCGGCGCCGCACAUCCUGGUCGCCAACGCCGGCGUGCUCGACGACAAGUACCCGUCCCUCGCCGACACCGCCACGGCGGACUUCGACCGCGUGCUCGCCGUGAACGCGCGCGGCGCGUUCCUCUGCCUCCGCGAGGCUGCCAACCGGCUGCCCCGCGGCGGCGGCGGCCGGAUCGUGGCCGUGACGUCGUCCGUGGUCGGGUCGAACCCGACGGGGUACUCCGCCUACACGGCGUCCAAGGCGGCCGUGGAGGCGAUGGUGCGGACGAUGGCCAAGGAGCUCAAGGGCACGCGCGUCACGGCCAACUGCGUGGCUCCGGGGGCCACGGCCACGGACAUGUUCUUCGCCGGGAAGAGCGACGAGACCGUGAGGCGGACCGCGGAGACGAACCCCAUGGAGCGGCUCGGGGAGGCCGGCGACAUCGCACCGGUGGUCGGCUUCCUCUGCACCGACGCCGCCGAGUGGGUCAAUGGGCAAGUCAUCCGGGUCAACGGCGGGUACGUCUGA
rnacentral:rRNA from 1 species